AAGCCAUCUGCGAUGAAAGCUGACUUGUGCCUCCCACAAGUAGACAAGCUUCGAGUCCGGGACCCGCCUGUCCUGCUCCAGUGGGGUUUCGCAAGCAGGGUGUUUGGCAUCUUUAGUAAGGCCGGCAUUGCUCCUGAGUUCUGCGCAAAUUCUGAAGCUGGCAUAGCUAACUUACAUGGGAAUGUAUGAAUCUGCGAGCAUUUAAGCUCAAUCAUGACCACCGAACAGCCACUAUGUGUGUGCUCUAAACCUACUUGCGAUCAAGCUGAAAAGUUGAGCAAAUUAUUAAGCCUUCUGCAUUCUUUUCAUGCGUAAGCAUUCCUUGGUGAGUAACCCAGCAAGAUCUGUCCGUCGCGUGACGCCUUUAAUGUGCAAAAUAAACGCAUAAUUGGUAAAGUUAACACAUAUAGUCGUUAUAAUAGUGUAAUAGUAGAUGACUGGUAGCAUUAGAAGAAAAAAAAACUGGUGACGUCGCCGUUCCCUACUCAAGGAUGUAGCAAAAAAAAGGAAAAUCAAACCAAAUAUGGUGUGGCAAAAAAAAAGAACUGUUGUGACAGCGUUUCGGCUCAGUUGAUACGAUAUAUUUGCAAAAUAAAUGCAUAAUUGGCCAACACAUGUAAUCGUCAUAGUAGUGUAAUAGUAGAUGAUUGGUAGCGACGGGUAGACAUACAUAAGCUAGCUAAAUAAGUAAGCAAAAGCGAAGUAGCAGCCGGCCAAUGAGUGCUCACGUAUUAGUAGACAAUUCUCAAAAUUUUUGUGCAUUUUUUUAUUUUGUUUUAGCUAGGCACAAUCCUUCACCUCACGGCUCAUAGUACUAUGGUGAUGUACAGGCGACACUGGAACGAUCGUUGACUAAUGGAUGGGAAUCACAGAGCGAACUCUUUCUUACCCGCAGAAUAAUGCCAGCCGGAUUACAUUUCAUUAAUUCCGAAAAAGAAGUUCGAAGAUCCUCCGGGUGACGCCACACUGGAGCCAAUUUCUAAUGUGACCACGAGGGGCUAGAAUCCACAGGAAAUACAUACAAGGUGCUUAGGUAAAGCUGUCACGGCGCAAAUUUCAGCAUCAAGCAGAUAAUACUAUAAAGUAUUGCAUAGCGAUAACUGCACAAUUUGUAUAUGUACGAGUAGUUUAACUCUGCUGUUAACUACAGUGCACGAAGAAACGAUCGCGUGACACGGUCCCUGUGCGCUCUGAUUGUCAAUGCGUGCGGUAGACUAACUAACUCCCGUUAUUGAAAUGGCUGCAUCCGCAUAUCACCGUCGCACGAGCACGGAGCGAACGUAAUCAUGGCUUGACAAAGAACGCUCGUUCGACGGUGAUGUGAAUACAGUCACUUCAAUAAUUUGUGUCAGCUAAGGGCGUGUCAGCUGCUCUCUUCGGCCUCUAAUUUUAAAGUAUCUUGGCUGAAAUCCGACGAAAUUCGCUACUACGCUGAAACUAGCGGCAACAGCUUUUUUUUUUUUUUUUUUUUUUUUACUACGGAUGACGGGGUUCAAGCCUCGCAUUAGGGUUUAUUGCACAGCACUUUCGGUUACAAAUUAGCCUAGUUUUCAUAAUUUCUUGUCUGCUUACUUUCUCGAGUCAUUUUAACGUGUCAGGUGCUAUGGUGGAUGUAAUACCGAGGAAAUUAAUCAAAUAUGUCAUCCCUAUUAUUUUAUAUCGAGAAAUUUCGAACACAUAUUCUGAAACGCUUCGAUAAUACGCGAGAACAAACAGGGGAACCGAGGGGCUCGAUUUUUAGUAAGUCAUACGAAGGCAACGUACAAUGAAGACAGGGAAAGCGUAGAGUACAUUAACCUUUCUUUUUCUCAAUCGUGUAGAAUUAAUUGCAGGUACGCGCUAGAAGGGCGAUACGCUUAAGCCAUAGCCACUGAGCUACUGUGGCGCGUUGUGAGGAAACAUGCUAACUGGAAUAGCGAUGCCGUUUCACUGCGGUUCUCGAGCACUUAUUUAGGCGAAAGCCUUAAGUGGCUCGUUGCGCGAAGGCCUCAAAAAAAAAAAAAAUAAUAAAGGAAAAAAAAACGCGGCGUCUAGUCGGAUGGUACAAAAAAAAAAAAAAAACGUGGCUUUGUUCCGAGCGAGCGGCGGGUGGAGAGGGGAACGAGCGGCGCGCGCAGACAGAAAACCAGGUGUUGCGUCGCUGACGUCACGUGGGGGCGGUGUUUGUGGCGACUGCGAAGCGAGAGAGACGGCGAUGGAGGACGCUCGCCCGGCGGCGCCUAGCGGAUUGCGCGGCGGGCCUCGGAAGUACGCUAUGGCCUCGGAUGCUCGCCAAGCGAGAAACGAGGUGCGACGAGCGAAGCGGCGGGAGCAAGGCAUUCGACCGGGAGUGCUGCUUUCCCCUGCUGAGAGGAUGCAACGCAAUUGUGUUCGUGCCAGCAAGUGGUGCCACUUACGCUGCUAUCGCUUUGGCCGCCAAUUUCGAACAUCAAGUCUUCGUCGUCUACUUGCGUGCAGCCGGCUCAUACGCACUCGGCCCCAUUUCUGAGCGUGCUUCGCCUUUGGUGUUGGCCUCGACCGGAGCAGGAAAGUGAAAACGUGACUGACGGUUCAAAAAGGCGCAAACUGAAUGCUGCGCGGCUCUCUCGUGAGGAAGAACGAGCCGGGAGCAGCAUGGCCAAAAUUUCCCGCUUUCAAGCAAACGCGAAGUUAGCGAAGUUCUUCUUGUAGGCGAAUUAGUGCACCACUCCAACAGCUGGGAGAUAACACGAGUGUCCUUCAACUUUUACUUAUUUUGAUUGCGCCUCGCCUGCCCCUUUCUUUUUCUUUUUUUUUUUGCACUAGCACGUUGGGACAUUUCAUACAUUGUUCAAGUAAAUCAGAUACAUUUUGACAUCAUUUGUUUAGCUUAAUGAAUGCCAACAUAAUUGGAUUUAAUGGAACACAUCUGGUUUCCGUUAGAAAUAAGCUGAAAACGUACCUGCACUGAGAGCCUAUUGAAUGCUUGCUGCAUAGACUUCGUAAAUACUUUUGCUCUGUAUGCCAACUGGACUCCGCCGAAGAGAGGCCACUCUGCUUUAUCGCUUAUGGCUAGGGGUGGCCUUCACGAAAUCUCACUCAUUUCGCAUUGGAAUGGCCGACAAUGCUCUCUGCAAUGCCUGUCUUUGCGAGGAGACGCUAGAACACAUUCUACACGACUGUCCUGAAUAUAAUGUUCAGAGACAGUCCCUGGCGUCCGUUCUGGCGCACCUUGACAAUAGACCAUUGUCAGUUGAAACGAUUUUCACAUAUCGCCGACAGAAGACAUCGCAGCUGAAGGCGAUGAAGGGACUACUUUGGGUUUUGAAAGAGACGGGCUUGGACAAGCGGCUGUGACAGUGAUGUCACGUACCACGCAAGAGUGACGGACUGUAACUGACGAUGUGUGUGCUGUGUUAUGUGCUCUCUUUCUCUCUUCCCCAUCUUUCAUCUUCCCCCAUCCCGCUCCCAUGUGUAGGCUAGCAAACCGGUUGAGCUAGACUGUUUAACCUCUUUGCCUUUCCUUCUCCACUUUUUCCUUCCUUCAUUUGCGAGCAUUCUUUUUGUCUAGGUUGUAGCAAUAAUGGCAGCUAAAAUUCUUCAGAAUAAUAGAACCACCUUGUUGUAUAUGUAAUUUCGGCCCUUUUUGCAGUGUAUUACAAGAUUCGUACUCACCUGCAUGUCUGACAUGUCGUAUCUGUUUCCGACCCUAAACCCUAAACCUUAAACCCUAAACCUUAAAAUUAAGAAGUACUUGCGUGGCUUAAUAAGCCUUAAUAACUGCUGCUGGUGUACUUUGUGUGGGCUGGCCCAAGUUAUCUUGCUUUCUUCAGGUUUAAUUUAACGAGUUUUAAACCAUGAUGGAGAAACAAAAGCGCGGCUAAUUACAAUUGGUUAAUGAGAUAGAAGCAGACUACUGGUAUAGGCUAAACCAUGCAAGAAGCAUUCCAGGUAUUUCGAAGGAACGUCAAAGGGGCAAGCUUUUUGAAGUUAAACAACCGCAUUUAUAAUAAAUGAAAUAGAAACAAUUGGAAA